rnacentral:misc_RNA from 1 species
UAUCGGUACAAGAUUGACCAUCUCUACUAGAUUUUACCAAAACAAAACCUCAUAUUAAUAAUAACAGAAAUUAAUAAGGGAGAUGAAUCGGUUUGCCUAUGUGGAGGCCCGCCUAAAUUCUGACGAAUCCUUUGUUAGCCGCGACAACAAGGUGAAAAUAUACGAUGGUGACCAAAAGACGGAGUUUGAGGAGGGCGAGGUCGUACUCACAACGCACCGACUUUUUUGGGGCCGUCCAGGAGAAAUAGCAAGAGCCGCUGUAGCUCUUUGCUUACCACUAAGCUAUGUGAUAUCCUUAAGCGAGGAAACCACUGCCUCAAACUUUUUUGGCCGCAAGACUCGCAUUAUUAUGCACCUCCGGCCACCGGCGCCAGACAAGGGACCAGGUCCACUAGACUACAGCCGGGCCACGCACAUAAAGCUAUCGGGAAAAAACGGCUUGAGCAUUGAAUUCCACAGUGCCCUCAAGGAGACGCUCAAUGCCCGCGUUUGGGAGAUCGCCCUGGUAAGCGACACCAUAAUAAACAAACCUGCUUCCAGCAGUUUGGGCUCCAGCUCGAGCAAUGAUAGGCUGGCUCGUAUUCAAAAGCGAACUGGAAUCGGAGGCAUUGAGCGGAAUUUAGAGGCAAAGGCCAAAGAAACGGAUGAAAACAUUGCAUUGGCCUUCCAGGAUCUUAGUGUUCUGAUGGCCAUGGCCAAGGACAUGGUAGGUUUGUCUAAAACCAUCAGCAGCAAAAUUCGAGAGCAGAAAGGUGAAAUAUCGGACGACGAGACGGUACAGUUCAAAUCUUAUCUUAUGAGCUUGGGAAUCGAUGGUCCUGUAACGAGAGAUAACUUUACCAGCAACACUGCAUAUUUUAACAGCUUGGGGCAACAGAUUUGCGAGAUGCUGCUGGAUCCCAUUGAGGAACACGGGGGUAUGAUGUCCUUGGCAGAUGUCUACUGCCGCGUAAAUCGUGCCAGGGGACUGGAACUGCUUUCACCUGAGGACCUUCUACACGCAUGCGAGCUCCUCAGUGGUCCAAUUCGCCUACGAAGCUUUCCCAGUGGUGCACGAGUCCUUCAGCUGGAAUCGCACGACGAUGACGUGGUCGCUCUGGACACUCUGGAAAAAGUUGAAUCAGCAGAAUCUAUGGCAGUCGAGGAGUUGGCGAAGCAGCUUGGCAUUUCUCUUCUGCUGGCAAAGGAGCGCCUAUUGGUAGCCGAACGCCUGGGAAAAGUGUGUCGAGACGAAUCCGUGGAGGGUCUUCGCUUCUAUCCUAAUCUACUUCUGAGGCAGGAGUGAUAAGUCGCCUAUAAGCUGUUUCUAGACAAAUUAAAUAAACAAAUGUGGUUUUUAUUUGGUAGUAUUUCUCCCCCGGACCAUCGUUUAAGGACGAAACUUUUUGAUCUUAUUCUUUUCACACUUUAUUGAUUAACGGAGCUUUUGCUGUGACUUUGUCGGCGCUUAAUUAUUAUUCUUUUCCUUAAAUGUUUUCUUUAAUGUUUCAAGAGUUCACUUGCAAUCAGUUUAAUGAAAGUUUCUACAGUCAGAUAUAAAUAGCUUACACUGCUGCUUAGAUUGCUCCGCAUUACGUUAAUAAUUUUCGAAUUAAGUUUUAAUAACCAUUUGAUCAGACCACACGUACAUAUUCGUCUUGCAUAUAGCUUCGUACCCCGAUCCUUCGCUUGGGUAAGGUAAUGCCACAACUAGUCCAACUUCCUGAAGCUUUCAUUCAUUCAUUCAUUCCGAUGUAGUACCAUGUUUCUAUUCGUUUAUUCUCCUUAAAUCACAAUUAUUUAAUAUUAACAUUGAGUAAAUUAUGCCUGAAUCAGCAGUGAACGGUAGGGAUACGGGUAUUGGUGAGGUUACUUUGCGUUUCUUUUUAUUUUUGCUUUACGAAGAACAAAUCCAUGCUAAACAGUUACAGCAAGAUGUAACAUAAUAAAACUCGUUUCUUAAAUAAUUUCAUUUAAAAAAACUGGCGUAGUAUAAAAACAAAUCGUUUAGUCAAAGCGUUAUUUUGUACACAUUUCUCAGCCCUUUCUGUCAACGCCUCCGCAACUUCGCCUGCUCUUGACUCUACUUUUAUUGUACAUUGCGCUAUUACAAAUAAAUUGAUUAAAUAGAUGCUGACUUUUGUAUUCUUUCUUUUGCUUUUCGUUUUAAUGUUUUUGCAAUUGGAAGUACUAAAUUGGUUGAGGCUACGAUUGUACAUUAAAAACUAAAAUGUUGCUUUCGUUUGUGAACUUAAGCUAAGCAAUCGAUUAAAUAUUUAGCAAUAAUAAUAUAAAUAGUACAAUAUGCAUAAUUUUAAUUACUAAAAUCAACCCUUAUAACGGUUCAAAUUUUCUAAACGUAAUCAUACUCCGAAUUAAUUUAAAUAUAAUUUGUUUUCAUCAUCUUAUUGCUUUGUUUUUGUUUUCCGUGACUCUCCUUCAGUACAGCUUAAAAUUAGCACACUUAUCGAACUAGUCUUAGGGAUUAACGAAUCGGAGUUGGGAGCCAAGUUGUUAGGUAUAAUUUUAUGUAGUUUGAAUGGCUAUGAUAUAUAUAAUUAUAUAUAUAUUUUUGUGUGUAUAUACAACUAAAUAAAUAUUUUAAGAGUUCUACACCUAGUUCGUUUUUGUCUAGA